rnacentral:snRNA from 1 species
CUAUGUGAGGGCAAUCUGGCUGUGACAUCUGUCACCCCAUUGAUCACCAGGGUUGAUUCAGCUGAUCUGGCUGGCUAGGUGGGUGUCCCCUUCCUCCCUCACCGCUCCAUGUGCGCCCCUCCCCAAACUGCGUGCUCAGUCGAAAAGGACGGCCUUCCCCAAAUAGAGACGGAAGGGUCUUCGGUCGAGGGUAUACGAGUAGCUGUGCUCCCCUGCCAGAACCUCCAAACAAGCUCUCAGGAUCAAUAAUAAUAAUGAUGAUGAUGAUGAUGAUGAUGUCUAGCAUUAGACAUUAGUACUUAGUACAUUAGGAUUUAGUCCCAAGUCU